CAAUAGCGUAUAUUAAAGUUGUUGCGGUUAAAAGCUCGUAGUUGGAUUUCUGCCGAGGACGACCGGUCCGCCCUCUGGGUGAGUAUCUGGCUCGGCCUGGGCAUCUUCUGGAGAACGUAGCUGCACUUGACUGUGUGGUGCGGUAUCCAGGACUUUUACUUUUGAGGAAAUUAGAGUGUUUCAAGCAGGCAUACGCCUUGAAUACAUUAGCAUGGAAUAAUAAGAUAGGACCUCGGUUCUAUUUUGUUGGUUUCUAGAGCUGAGGUAAUGAUUAAUAGGGAUAGUUGGGGCGAUUCGUAUUCCGUCGAGAGAGGUGAAAUUCUCAGACCAAUGGAAGACGAACCACUGCGAAAGCAUUU
rnacentral:rRNA from 1 species